rnacentral:lncRNA from 1 species
UGAGCUCACGUUACCACACACACUGCGACCCGAGGCUUAAUGCUUCUCAGGCUCUUGAGCUAUCCUUUAUCAUCGCAGAACGACUUAGGAAGAGAAGGAUUGGAACUCAACGGUCACUCUCUUUAGGCCUCUAAACAACUUCGAAAGUCCUGCAUCAUUUCAAAUGAUUGUUUGUACUUGGUAGAAAAUAAAGUUCGUAUGGGUUAUCCAGCAAACUGCAUAUUGCAGCCAUCACAUUGCUCCACCUGCAGGCUUGUGAUAGUGUCAAACAAUCAAGAGCAACUACAAAAUUCCUGAGAAAGAGAAUCUAGUAAGGCCUCAGAUUGCAGGCUGCAAAAGCAAGAUGCUGGAGAUAAAAGCUUGUAAAAUUUUUAUAAUUUAAUUUGUAUUUGGA